rnacentral:rRNA from 5 species
AACAAGGUUUCCGUAGGUGAACCUGCGGAAGGAUCAUUAC